GGACACAGCAAGACCCUGUCUCAAAAAAAAGGAAAAAAAAGAAGAUGACCAUCUUUUACUGCCCAACGACAUCUUUCUACCAAUGUGAACAGAGACUAGCAGCACAGUGAUCACCUGCAGAUAGACCUGGCUUUAUCUGUACAUAACACCAAAAGAAAAAACCUGGAUUCCAGAAGGAAAUAAAGAUUUUCAGUCCCUGCAAGAAUUCUCAAUGUUCUUCACAUAAUUUGGAGAAGAGAGAGACACAGGGGGAAGAUGGCCAUGUGAAGAUGGAGGCAGAGACUGGAGUGAUACAUCCACAAGCUAUGGAAUGCCAAGGUUUGCCAGCCAUUUAUAAGAAGCUAGGAGACAGGCGUGGAACACAUUCUCCCUCUGAACCCUCAGAAGGAACCAACACUGCCGACAUUUUGAUUCCGGACUUCUGACCUCCAGAACAAGAACCCAGACUAGCCCCAGCACUCCAGGCAAUCACCACCAAACAAUGAGAGUUGGCACAGGAUACAAGACUUCUGUCCUUCUAUGACAUGGAUUUCUUCAGCAUCCAGGUUUGCAGACUAAUGAGCAUCACCUUAAAGUAGGGCAGUGUAACUUCCUGGAAAUCAACAAUAUGUACCGUCUAAUGCCUCUUUACGCUGCAGCUCUGGGCAGACUGUAGAAUGGCCAGGCUAGCCUGCCAUGUGGGGAAACCAAUCCUGAGUAUAACCCACAGCUCCUUGUCCAUGCAAUGGGAGAUGGUCCUUUAAUGCCCAGCACAGAUUUUUUAUUGGAAUUUCCAAAGAGCAUAUCCCAUGAGCCUCGUUUCACCACAGAUAAUCAGACUAAUUCCUCAGACUCCACAGUGCCAAGUCUUUCCUUACUUGCUAGCUUCAGUGUCUGCUUUGGCCUCCUGCCCUGCUUAUGAAGCUCUGGCCCUCUCCACUGUAGAUUCCACAGCCCAUGACCUUGACUCAACUCUGUAUCUGACUCCAGCCACCCCGGGCUGACUUGCUGCCCCUUUCUCCUGCCAGCCAGGGCCCAGCAGCCCCAGAAUUGCCUGCCCUCUGUUGCCCCAUCUGCCCCUGGCCACCCAUCUCCAACACUGAAUCUCCCCAGAUGUGUCUGAUGUCUCAGCACUUUCCCUACUAGCAGCGAGUGGCACUCA
rnacentral:lncRNA from 1 species